UGAGCAACCUGCCCUUCUCAUCGGAAUAAGCGUUGGAAACGACGUCUAAUGCCGAAUACGACCUCCUUUCGCAUGAUCGGAGGUGGAAAGCUCCGGCGGAGAAGGAUGAGCUCGCGACCUAUCAGCUAGUUGGUGUGGGUAAUGGCCCACCAAGGCGACGACGGGUAGCCGGCCUGAGAGGGUGACCGGCCACACUGGGACUGAGAUACGGCCCAGACUCCGUACGGGAGGNAGCG
rnacentral:rRNA from 1 species